CUCAUCCUCCCCACAUGAAGUAUGCUCCUUUCUUCUGGCUGGAAGUGUUUACUUGAGGACUGUUGGGAGUGUGUAAAUUUUUUUUUUUUUGAAAUAUACCAUUAGAAGGGCACUGAAUUGGAAUUCACCAAGCUUUCUUUGAGAUUAUAGUGUAUGAAUCCAGGUAACAUACAACACCUACUUGGAGUCCUUCUCUCACCUCAUCCAGAUUCUUGUCACAUCUCUUCAGAUGCUUUUAUUACUCCUGUAAGAGAAACUGUUCAAAAGACCUGACUCAAAGCCCAAGGGUCUUUAGCAUUGUCCGCCUCGUUCUUAGCCCUCUCAGGACCAGGUUAUAUAUGGACAUGGAGUUGUUUUGUGCAAUCAUGUUUCUAGGUCCAAGUACAAGAUUUCCAUCCACAGAAUUUUAUGCAUUUCGAGAUCCAGUUACUUUCUGAAGCAUUUAUUCUGCCCCCAGUGGCCGGAGAUCAACCAGAGGGCACCUUUUCAGCUCUGCCA
rnacentral:lncRNA from 1 species